UACCAGCUCUCCGAGUAGUGUGGAUGUUUAUUGGGCCUAAAGCAUCCGUAGCUUGCUAUACAAGUCCCCUGUUAAAUCCACCGAUUUAAUCGUUGGAUUGCGGGGGAUACUGUUUGGCUAGGGGACGGGAGAGGCCGACGGUAUUUCCGGGGUAGGGGUGAAAUCCUAUAAUCCCGGGAAGACCACCAGUGGCGAAGGCUGUCGGCUAGAACGCGCCCGACGGUGAGGGAUGAAAGCUGGGGGAGCGAACCGGAUUAGAUACCCGGGUAGUCCCAGCUGUAAACGAUGCAGGCUAGGUGUUUGGGCGGCCACGAGCCGCUCUAGUGCCGCAGGGAAGCUGUUAAGCCUGCCGCCUGGGGAGUACGGCCGCAAGGCUGAAACUUAAAGGAAUUGGCGGGGAGCACCACAAGGCGUGAAGCUUGCGGUUC
rnacentral:rRNA from 1 species